rnacentral:rRNA from 1 species
GCAUGUCUAAGUACAAACUAUAAUAAAGUGAAACCGCAAAAGGCUCAGUAUAACAGCUGUAAUUUCUUGGAUCAUAUUCCCAGUUACUUGGAUAACUGUGGAAAAUCUAGAGCUAAUACAUGCAAACAAUACAAGUGAUUGUCGUCAAAAGCAGUUUCUUGUGCAGUUAUUAGACAAACCAAUCGACCUUUACCGGUUGUUUCAUUUGGUGGAACUCUAGAUAACUUUGCUGAUCGUAUGGCCUCUGUGCCGACGACAGAUCUUUCAAAUGUCUGCCCUAUCAACUAUUGAUGGUAGUAUAGAGGACUACCAUGGUUGCUACGGGUAACGGGGAAUCAGGGUUCGAUUCCGGAGAGGGAGCCUGAGAAAUGGCUACCACAUCUAAGGAAGGCAGCAGGCGCGUAAAUUACCCACUCCCGGCACGGGGAGGUAGUGACGAAAAAUAACAAUAUAGAACUAGUUAACUAUGUUCUGUAAUUGGAAUGAGUUAAUUAUAAAUCCUUUAACAAGGAUCAAGUGGAGGGCAAGUCUGGUGCCAGCAGCCGCGGUAAUUCCAGCUCCACUAGCGUAUAUUAAAAUUGUUGCGGUUAAAACGUUCGAAGUUGAUUAUUGUCCAGUACGAGUGUUGUUCCAUCAAGUAAAUGUGGAUACAAUCAUUUUCGAUACUUGGACUAUUUGACUGAACACUAUUAAUGGAUAGGACAAGACACCUUUCACUAGGUUAUUGUCUCUUUCAGUUCAGCUUGGUAUUACCUUGAACAAAUUAAGGUGCUCAAAGCAGGCAAUUUAUAUGCCGUUGAAUAUUUU